UGCAAGUCGAACGGUAACAGCACUUCGGUGGCUGACGAGUGGCGAACGGGUGAGUAAUACAUCGGAACGUGCCCGAGAGUGGGGGAUAACGCAGCGAAAGCUGUGCUAAUACCGCAUACGAUCUACGGAUGAAAGCAGGGGACCGCAAGGCCUUGCGCUCAUGGAGCGGCCGAUGGCAGAUUAGGUAGUUGGUGGGAUAAAAGCUUACCAAGCCGACGAUCUGUAGCUGGUCUGAGAGGACGACCAGCCACACUGGGACUGAGACACGGCCCAGACUCCUACGGGAGGCAGCAGUGGGGAAUUUUGGACAAUGGGCGAAAGCCUGAUCCAGCCAUGCCGCGUGCAGGAUGAAGGCCUUCGGGUUGUAAACUGCUUUUGUACGGAACGAAAAAGUCUUUUCUAAUAAAGAAGGCUCAUGACGGUACCGUAAGAAUAAGCACCGGCUAACUACGUGCCAGCAGCCGCGGUAAUACGUAGGGUGCAAGCGUUAAUCGGAAUUACUGGGCGUAAAGCGUGCGCAGGCGGUUAUAUAAGACAGAUGUGAAAUCCCCGGGCUCAACCUGGGAACUGCAUUAGUGACUGUAUAGCUAGAGUGCGGCAGAGGGGGAUGGAAUUCCGCGUGUAGCAGUGAAAUGC
rnacentral:rRNA from 1 species